AGCUCAGGCACCGCCGGAGGCACGCUGCAGCUGUUCCAGCAAAGCGCUGAGGCUGCGCGUGAGGAGGGAGCCGGGGAGGUAAUCAUGUGAUUGGGGACAGAGAACAGAAUGAACCAGGACUGGUGAAGUCAUUUCAGAUGUUAAUCUUUCCAGUAGUAAAGUACAACAACAGCUCAUCACAGCAGGAUGCACUUGGAUCUGAGGUGGUUUGAAGGCAGGCUGGGUUGACUGCAAAUAUCUGGAAUAGCUCAGCCGAUAAUGAUUCUGUGGCUCUUACUGAGGAAGAAGGCUGGUUUGAAGGAGAUGGAGAUGGGUUAGGAGAAGAAAAAUCAGCUUCUGAGCCAGAAGUGGAGGUUGAAGUAACACUGAGUGCUUCCUCCUUCCAAUGCUGAGGGUAUAUCUACAUUGCA